GCGCGAAAAUAUGCAAGAAAAUUAAGCACUGACGUAGUGCAGUUUGAUACCGUAUGUUGUUUCUUCACUUGGUUGUCUCCAGUUUGGAGAACUGCAGGUGGUGCAGGAUGACAUAUAUAUCAUGCAGGACUACGUUGACAUGGUGACAUAAUACUACGUUUAACAUGAGUUCUUUCGUGGAUGGAACUUGCAGUUGGCUGGUACGGUCGUGAAGGUGGUCAGCUGCAGUGGUCUGAGUGAUCAGGACAGGGACCGUGUGGGCCUGCCUUGAUAGACAGUUCUUCUGGUACUCUAUUUCAGGAGGAGUUCUUUCGUGGAUGGAACUUGCAGUUGGCUGGUACGGUCGUGAAGGUGGUCAGCUGCAGUGGUCUGAGUGAUCAGGACAGGGACCGUGUGGGCCUGCCUUUAUAGACAGUUCUUCUGGUACUCUAUUUCAGGAGGAGUUCUUUCGUGGAUGGAACUUGCAGUUGGCUGGUACGGUCGUGAAGGUGGUCGGCUGCAGUGGUCCGAGUGAUCAGGACAGGGACCGUGUGGGCCUGCCUUGAUAGACAGUUCUUCUGGUACUCUAUUUCAGGAGGUGUUCAGCUUAAUACGAGAUGAUGAGCUGUAUAGCUAUUGAUUUGAAGACAUCGUAGCUACAACUCCCCUCCCCCUACAAUUUCCAGACCAAGAUGGAUAAUUGGGUCGACGACAUUCGCCAGUGGCCUUUUUUAACAGAUCAAGGUAUCCAGGAUUACUUCUUAAAGCGUUUGGCCUGUGAUGAGCAACCUAAUGCUAAUUACCGAUCUCUGAUUGAGGGACAAAACUAUCUAAGAUCUGGAUGGGUUGGUCAAAUAACACACCGUUUGCGAAGUACAGAGGUCAUCGUGCUGAAGGGAAAAGUGCGAUACUCCCAAUCCAUUAACAAGUACCAUGAAGUAGAAGUGACAAUACAAAGAGACAAAGCUGAAAUACUUGAAGUUAAAUGUGACUGUAUGGCUAACCAAGGCAGAUGCUGCAGCCACACAGCAGGUCUUGCUUACAAGAUUAACCAAGCCGCUCUCAAAGGCUACAUUGGUGUAGCAUGUACAGAUGUGGAAUGCUUGUGGAAUAAGUCAACGUCGACAAA